CCGGCUCCGCAGGGCUAAAGUGCUGACAGUGCAGGUAGCUAGCGUCUGGUUGCUACUGCAGUGUGGGGGCUUGCAGCUCUGGGGGGCCACUG
ensembl:miRNA